CACGUAGGGGGCAAGCGUUGUCCGGAUUUAUUGGGCGUAAAGAGCUCGUAGGCGGUGUGUCGCGUCGGCCGUGAAAACCUGCAGCUUAACUGUGGGCUUGCGGUCGAUACGGGCAUCACUGGAGUUCGGCAGGGGAGACUGGAAUUCCUGGUGUAGCGGUGAAAUGCGCAGAUAUCAGGAGGAACACCGGUGGCGAAGGCGGGUCUCUGGGCCGAUACUGACGCUGAGGCGCGAAAGCGUGGGGAGCAAACGGG
rnacentral:rRNA from 1 species